rnacentral:tRNA from 1 species
UCCUUGGUGGUUCAGUUGGUAAAGAAUCUGCCUGCAAUGCAGGAAACCCGGGUUCAAUCCCGGGCUGGGAA